AACCUUUUGCCCUUAGUGCUAUCAGUUUCUCUGAAGGAUAGUAUCUCUGAAGUCCUCGUCUAGGCUUAGCUGUAGAAAAAUGAAACGGCAGUGUGGUGCAUAUUUAAACAUGACAUAGCAGGCGAGGAAAGAAAGUGAUCUGUCUUUUGAUUGAAGAUGAAAUAGCUCCUAAACAAACAAGUGGAAAAUUGGGUCAGCUAUCUCCAAAUACAAAAUAUUUUGAAAAAUUGAGACAAAAGCAUUAGGCUCAUGUUUGAAUAUGGCUACUCAAAGUAAUCAUCUUUAAACUGUCACUAGGGGGACUUUGAAGAUACCUGACUUUUCAGACGGCUUAUCUGUGUGUUUCCCUGAAGUCUGCCUUGCAGGACUGAGGACAAGGGUUUUGCACAUUCCUCUCAGUGUGAUGUGACAAAGGAAGCCACUAGGGUUGUGGAAGAGGGGGAACAGGCAAAGCCAUGCCAUUUUCUCUUCAUUCCAGUGGAUAAGGUAGCCCCCAGAGGUGAGGACAGUCUGUGAGUAUCUGCUUCUUUCUGCAACUGUGCACUG
rnacentral:lncRNA from 1 species